rnacentral:pre_miRNA from 1 species
UCUUACAUAUGAGCAAAGAAAGUGGUUUCUUCAGAUAGAAAUCACUCUUGGUGAAGAUGCUGCGAA